CCCUGCUUGUCUUGGAUCCGACCACAGGCCCAUCCCAGGGAUUUGGGGUCAGAGAGCUUAAUAAAUCAUCCUGCCCAGCACAUGCAAGCCUGGAGCCCUCCUCCUGGCUUUCUGAGAUCUGACCUCUGCUGACCUCUCCCACCCACCUCCCUCUUGCCAGGCCAGAGACCGGUGAAUUUCUCGAACACGCGAUUCUCUUCCUGCCUCUCCAGGACUGUGCACAGGCUGUUCCCUCCACCUGGAAUGUUCUCUCCCUUUCUCCAGGCUUCACCAAGAUAAUGCUUCCGGCUGGUUCAAAUUUCGGCUCAAAGAUCACCUCCUUCUCUGUUCUUCCAGCAAAGGCAGACGAGAAGGCUGGCGCUGUGGCCUCCACCUUGGAUCAUGAGGAGGGCCACACCCUAAGGAUGGCAGAGUUGUGACCAGGAAGGAGCCUGGGACACUGAGAGCUUUGUGGAGUCUUCAAACCAGCCCUGAACUGCCUACAUCUGGACUUCAUUCACACGAGAGAAAAAUAAACUCUUUUGUUUAUUGUUGA